AGCGAACGCUGGCGGCAUGCCUUACACAUGCAAGUCGAACGGUAACAGGUCUUCGGAUGCUGACGAGUGGCGAACGGGUGAGUAAUACAUCGGAACGUGCCUAGUAGUGGGGGAUAACUACUCGAAAGAGUGGCUAAUACCGCAUGAGAUCUAAGGAUGAAAGCAGGGGAUCGCAAGACCUUGUGCUACUAGAGCGGCCGAUGGCAGAUUAGGUAGUUGGUGGGAUAAAAGCUUACCAAGCCGACGAUCUGUAGCUGGUCUGAGAGGACGAUCAGCCACACUGGGACUGAGACACGGCCCAGACUCCUACGGGAGGCAGCAGUGGGGAAUUUUGGACAAUGGGCGCAAGCCUGAUCCAGCAAUGCCGCGUGCAGGAUGAAGGCCUUCGGGUUGUAAACUGCUUUUGUACGGAACGAAAAGCCCUGGGUUAAUACCCUGGGGUCAUGACGGUACCGUAAGAAUAAGCACCGGCUAACUACGUGCCAGCCGCCGCCGUAACAC
rnacentral:rRNA from 1 species